GCUUAACACAUGCAAGUCGAGCGAGAAUCGUUUAUUGAAGGCUUCGGCUGGAAAUAGAUGAGGAAAGCGGCGAACGGGUGAGUAACGCGUGGGCAACCUGGCCUUAAGAAAAGGAUAGCCCCCGGAAACGGGGAGUAAUACGUUGUGAGAAUGAAAGAGGGCAUCCUACUUUCAUUCAAAGCGCAAGCGCUUAAGGAUGGGCCCGCGUAUCAUUAGCUAGUUGGUGAGAUAACAGCCCACCAAGGCAACGAUGAUUAGCCGGUCUGAGAGGGCGAACGGCCACAUUGGAACUGAGAGACGGUCCAAACUCCUACGGGAGGCAGCAGUGGGGAAUAUUGCGCAAUGGAGAAGAACUCUGACGCAGCAAUACCGCGUGAGCGAAGAAGGUCUUCGGAUCGUAAAGCUCUGUUAUCAGGGAAGAAGAAAAUGACGGUACCUGAUGAGCAAGUCCCGGCUAACUACGUGCCAGCCGCCGCAGUAACAC
rnacentral:rRNA from 1 species